GGGUUGUGAGGUUAAGCGACUAAGCGUACACGGUGGAUGCCCUGGCAGUCAGAGGCGAUGAAGGACGUGCUAAUCUGCGAUAAGCGUCGGUAAGGUGAUAUGAACCGUUAUAACCGGCGAUUUCCGAAUGGGGAAACCCAGUGUGUUUCGACACACUAUCAUUAACUGAAUCCAUAGGUUAAUGAGGCGAACCGGGGGAACUGAAACAUCUAAGUACCCCGAGGAAAAGAAAUCAACCGAGAUUCCCCCAGUAGCGGCGAGCGAACGGGGAGCAGCCCAGAGCCUGAAUCAGUGUGUGUGUUAGUGGAAGCGUCUGGAAAGGCGCGCGAUACAGGGUGACAGCCCCGUACACAAAAAUGCACAUGCUGUGAGCUCGAUGAGUAGGGCGGGACACGUGGUAUCCUGUCUGAAUAUGGGGGGACCAUCCUCCAAGGCUAAAUACUCCUGACUGACCGAUAGUGAACCAGUACCGUGAGGGAAAGGCGAAAAGAACCCCGGCGAGGGGAGUGAAAAAGAACCUGAAACCGUGUACGUACAAGCAGUGGGAGCACGCUUAGGCGUGUGACUGCGUACCUUUUGUAUAAUGGGUCAGCGACUUAUAUUCUGUAGCAAGGUUAACCGAAUAGGGGAGCCGAAGGGAAACCGAGUCUUAACUGGGCGUUAAGUUGCAGGGUAUAGACCCGAAACCCGGUGAUCUAGCCAUGGGCAGGUUGAAGGUUGGGUAACACUAACUGGAGGACCGAACCGACUAAUGUUGAAAAAUUAGCGGAUGACUUGUGGCUGGGGGUGAAAGGCCAAUCAAACCGGGAGAUAGCUGGUUCUCCCCGAAAGCUAUUUAGGUAGCGCCUCGUGAAUUCAUCUCCGGGGGUAGAGCACUGUUUCGGCAAGGGGGUCAUCCCGACUUACCAACCCGAUGCAAACUGCGAAUACCGGAGAAUGUUAUCACGGGAGACACACGGCGGGUGCUAACGUCCGUCGUGAAGAGGGAAACAACCCAGACCGCCAGCUAAGGUCCCAAAGUCAUGGUUAAGUGGGAAACGAUGUGGGAAGGCCCAGACAGCCAGGAUGUUGGCUUAGAAGCAGCCAUCAUUUAAAGAAAGCGUAAUAGCUCACUGGUCGAGUCGGCCUGCGCGGAAGAUGUAACGGGGCUAAACCAUGCACCGAAGCUGCGGCAGCGACACUAUGUGUUGUUGGGUAGGGGAGCGUUCUGUAAGCCUGUGAAGGUGUGCUGUGAGGCAUGCUGGAGGUAUCAGAAGUGCGAAUGCUGACAUAAGUAACGAUAAAGCGGGUGAAAAGCCCGCUCGCCGGAAGACCAAGGGUUCCUGUCCAACGUUAAUCGGGGCAGGGUGAGUCGACCCCUAAGGCGAGGCCGAAAGGCGUAGUCGAUGGGAAACAGGUUAAUAUUCCUGUACUUGGUGUUACUGCGAAGGGGGGACGGAGAAGGCUAUGUUGGCCGGGCGACGGUUGUCCCGGUUUAAGCGUGUAGGCUGGUUUUCCAGGCAAAUCCGGAAAAUCAAGGCUGAGGCGUGAUGACGAGGCACUACGGUGCUGAAGCAACAAAUGCCCUGCUUCCAGGAAAAGCCUCUAAGCAUCAGGUAACAUCAAAUCGUACCCCAAACCGACACAGGUGGUCAGGUAGAGAAUACCAAGGCGCUUGAGAGAACUCGGGUGAAGGAACUAGGCAAAAUGGUGCCGUAACUUCGGGAGAAGGCACGCUGAUAUGUAGGUGAAGUCCCUCGCGGAUGGAGCUGAAAUCAGUCGAAGAUACCAGCUGGCUGCAACUGUUUAUUAAAAACACAGCACUGUGCAAACACGAAAGUGGACGUAUACGGUGUGACGCCUGCCCGGUGCCGGAAGGUUAAUUGAUGGGGUUAGCGCAAGCGAAGCUCUUGAUCGAAGCCCCGGUAAACGGCGGCCGUAACUAUAACGGUCCUAAGGUAGCGAAAUUCCUUGUCGGGUAAGUUCCGACCUGCACGAAUGGCGUAAUGAUGGCCAGGCUGUCUCCACCCGAGACUCAGUGAAAUUGAACUCGCUGUGAAGAUGCAGUGUACCCGCGGCAAGACGGAAAGACCCCGUGAACCUUUACUAUAGCUUGACACUGAACAUUGAGCCUUGAUGUGUAGGAUAGGUGGGAGGCUUUGAAGUGUGGACGCCAGUCUGCAUGGAGCCGACCUUGAAAUACCACCCUUUAAUGUUUGAUGUUCUAACGUGGACCCGUGAUCCGGGUUGCGGACAGUGUCUGGUGGGUAGUUUGACUGGGGCGGUCUCCUCCUAAAGAGUAACGGAGGAGCACGAAGGUUGGCUAAUCCUGGUCGGACAUCAGGAGGUUAGUGCAAUGGCAUAAGCCAGCUUGACUGCGAGCGUGACGGCGCGAGCAGGUGCGAAAGCAGGUCAUAGUGAUCCGGUGGUUCUGAAUGGAAGGGCCAUCGCUCAACGGAUAAAAGGUACUCCGGGGAUAACAGGCUGAUACCGCCCAAGAGUUCAUAUCGACGGCGGUGUUUGGCACCUCGAUGUCGGCUCAUCACAUCCUGGGGCUGAAGUAGGUCCCAAGGGUAUGGCUGUUCGCCAUUUAAAGUGGUACGCGAGCUGGGUUUAGAACGUCGUGAGACAGUUCGGUCCCUAUCUGCCGUGGGCGCUGGAGAACUGAGGGGGGCUGCUCCUAGUACGAGAGGACCGGAGUGGACGCAUCACUGGUGUUCGGGUUGUCAUGCCAAUGGCACUGCCCGGUAGCUAAAUGCGGAAGAGAUAAGUGCUGAAAGCAUCUAAGCACGAAACUUGCCCCGAGAUGAGUUCUCCCUGACUCCUUGAGAGUCCUGAAGGAACGUUGAAGACGACGACGUUGAUAGGCCGGGUGUGUAAGCGCAGCGAUGCGUUGAGCUAACCGGUACUAAUGAACCGUGAGGCUUAACCUUACAACGCCGAAG
rnacentral:rRNA from 1 species